rnacentral:rRNA from 1 species
GACGAACGCUGGCGGCGUGCUUAACACAUGCAAGUCGAACGGAAAGGCCCUGCUUUUGUGGGGUGCUCGAGUGGCGAACGGGUGAGUAACACGUGAGUAACCUGCCCUUGACUUUGGGAUAACUUCAGGAAACUGGGGCUAAUACCGGAUAGGAGCUCCUGCUGCAUGGUGGGGGUUGGAAAGUUUCGGCGGUUGGGGAUGGACUCGCGGCUUAUCAGCUUGUUGGUGGGGUAGUGGCUUACCAAGGCUUUGACGGGUAGCCGGCCUGAGAGGGUGACCGGCCACAUUGGGACUGAGAUACGGCCCAGACUCCUACGGGAGGCAGCAGUGGGGAAUAUUGCAUAAUGGGCGGAAGCCUGAUGCAGCAACGCCGCGUGCGGGAUGACGGCCUUCGGGUUGUAAACCGCUUUCGCCUGUGACGAAGCGUGAGUGACGGUAAUGGGUAAAGAAGCACCGGCUACUACGUG